UACGUAGGGGGCAAGCGUUGUCCGGAAUCAUUGGGCGUAAAGCGCGUGUAGGCGGCUUCGUAAGUCCGUUGUGAAAGUCCAGGGCUCAACCCUGGAAUGCCGAUGGAUACUGCGGAGCUAGAGUCCGGAAGAGGCGAGUGGAAUUCCUGGUGUAGCGGUGAAAUGCGCAGAUAUCAGGAGGAACACCAAUGGCGAAGGCAGCUCGCUGGGACGGUACUGACGCUGAGACGCGAAAGCGU
rnacentral:rRNA from 1 species